GUCCACGCCAUAAACGAUGAAUACUAGGUGUUGGCGGAUUUAAACCCGUCGGUACCGCAGCUAACGCGUUAAGUAUUCCGCCUGGGGAGUACGACCGCAAGGUUAAAACUCAAAGGAAUUGACGGGGCCCGCACAAGCAGCGGAGCGUGUGGUUUAAUUCGAUGCAACGCGAAACACCUUACCUGGGUUGGACGUGUGCGUAGUAGUGAAGCGAAAGCAGAACGACCCUUCGGGGAGCGCAUGCAGGUGCUGCAUGGCUGUCGU
rnacentral:rRNA from 1 species